UACGUAGGUGGCGAGCGUUGUCCGGAUUUACUGGGCGUAAAGAGCGCGCAGGCGGUCGUUCAAGUCGCGUGUGAAAGCCCCCGGCUCAACUGGGGAGGGUCACGCGAUACUGAUCGACUCGAAGGCAGGAGAGGGAAGUGGAAUUCCCGGUGUAGUGGUGAAAUGCGUAGAUAUCGGGAGGAACACCAGUGGCGAAGGCGACUUCCUGGCCUGUUCUUGACGCUGAGGCGC
rnacentral:rRNA from 1 species